AGAUGUACUACUGGGUAGCAGAGGCCUGAAAGGAUGUCUCUUAUUCCUUUUCCCCAGCCCCCAGCAGAACCUGGGACCUGGACAGCUCCCCCAGUGUGCCACCAAAAGAGGAGAUACCAUGAGCCCAGGUUCUAGGUUGUGGAGCCUCAGGGCAGGACACAGGCAUGGAGCCUAUCCUGAACUGCAGAGAAAGAUAUGGCAGGUGGAAGAUACUUUGGAUGAGCUGAAUGAGGAGUUCUUUCAGCUCACUGCUCAAGCCCUAGAACUUCAGAAGGAAAAAGACAAACCAGGACAACUGCCCCCAAGUGAAGACAAUGCAUUUGUGGAGGUUCCCAGCAUCUUUCCUUGUGUGUGGCAGGAAGACGGACCCUACCCAGCAGAUGCAAGUGGCCCAGGUGGAGAGAAUCUGGGGACCUGGGCCCUGAAGAGUGACCAGACCCUGAUGCUGGGAGUGAGAAGAGCCCACCUGGCUCAGAGUAUUGAGGACCUGGAGUGGGAGCUGUCCCUGCUCCUCCAGGUGACAGAUGGCAGUGUGUGCGCAGGAGGGAGCUGGCCCAGCUUGGGGAGCCACUGAGUCACACAGGAUACUGUGGUGGCCAUCUGUAGGAGCGCCUUUUCCACAGAGAACACAACCAGGUUAAUCUGCUCGCUCUUGUUAGGAAGGAGUGGUGUCUGAGGGGUCACCAGGCUUAGAGCAUGUGCUCAGUUUUAUGACAUGCUUCUUUUGGGUAAUACCCAAAUUUCUUUCAGAGCCUGGACCUGGGCUUGUGCAGAUUUCUGUCUGCAAUCCUUUGCGGUGAGGGAAAAUAAAGUCAUACAGGUUGAGAAAAUUGAUGUAUUC
rnacentral:lncRNA from 1 species